AGAAAGAAACACUGAUAGAUAGACUUGAGGGGGACUCAACAUGUGGCAUCCAGUCCUUGUAGUGAUGAGCCAAAGCACAGCAACUGCAGCUGGAAUAUGAAUCCGAUCUGACCACUGCCACAUCCUGAAUUAUUCCUGGGAGAGGAAAUCCAACACAGAGAGAUCUGUCACAGCAGGGAAGGCAGAAGAUAAAUGUGAGUGUCUGAGACACAGGCGUCAGCGUGCCAUGUAGAAGGAACGAGCUUCAAUCUGACAGUCAACUCAGAGCUGACAUCACGCUCCAGAGAGGGAGAAAGCACAGAUGGGCAAAUACAGCUGAAGCUGAUUAAGUGCACCAUACACUGAUGAUGUCGAGAGGAGCCAGACAAGAAGUCAAAGGGGACAGGAAACUCAAAACACAACUCCUAAUAUCACCUCGUUGACUGGAAGACCUAACCAAACGCAAGUGUGUGACAAAGUAGGUUUACUUUUCCAGCAUGGAAUGAGAUGGAUUACUCACUGUAUUCA